rnacentral:rRNA from 1 species
CCUACGGGAGGCAGCAGUGGGGAAUAUUGCACAAUGGGGGAAACCCUGAUGCAGCGACGCCGCGUGAGUGAAGAAGUAUUUCGGUACGUAAAGCUCUAUCAGCAGGGAAGAAAAUGACGGUACCUGACUAAGAAGCCCCGGCUAACUACGUGCCAGCAGCCGCGGUAAUACGUAGGGGGCAAGCAUUAUCCGGAUUUACUGGGGGUAAAGGGAGCGUAGACGGCAGCGCAAGUCUGGAGUGAAAUCCCAUGGCUUAACCAUGGAACUGCUUUGGAAACUGUGCAGCUAGAGUGCAGGAGAGGUAAGCGGAAUUCCUAGUGUAGCGGUGAAAUGCGUAGAUAUUAGGAGGAACACCAGUGGCGAAGGCGGCUUACUGGACUGUAACUGACGUUGAGGCUCGAAAGCGUGGGGAGCAAACAGGAUUAGAUACCCGUGUAGUC